rnacentral:ncRNA from 1 species
CGAAUCCCUCCCGGUAAAGUCUAGCCAACAGCCGGAACCGAGUCUUGCAUGCGAAUGCGGUAACGCAUUACUUGAAGCGUAGACAGGGUGCACUGAAGCCGUGUGAUAGAGCUCCGAAAUCAAAUCACCGCUGGUGUCCUCACUUUCCAUGGGGUAGGGACAGAACUGAGUUGGCCAUCAAGGUGAGGCCUGGAGUUGACCCGGUUUCGUGGACAC